rnacentral:rRNA from 1 species
GCGACAGGCCUAACACAUGCAAGUCGAGGGGCAGCACAAGGAGCAAUCUGAGGUGGCGACCGGCGCACGGGUGAGUAACACGUAUGCAACCUGCCUGUAAGCGGGGAAUAACCCGUUGAAAGACGGACUAAUACCGCAUAAUACUAAAUUACUGCAUGGUAAUUUAUUUAAACAUUUAUGGCUUACAGAUGGGCAUGCGCAUGAUUAGCUAGUUGGAGAGGUAACGGCUCCCCAAGGCAACGAUCAUUAGGGGUUCUGAGAGGAAGGUCCCCCACACUGGUACUGAGACACGGACCAGACUCCUACGGGAGGCAGCAGUGAGGAAUAUUGGUCAAUGGACGAGAGUCUGAACCAGCCAAGUCGCGUGCAGGAAGAAUGUCCUAAUGGAUUGUAAACUGCUUUUGCAGGGGAAUAAAGUGCAUCACGUGUGAUGUUUUGUAUGUACUCUGCGAAUAAGGAUCGGCUAACUCCGUGCCAGCAGCUGC